rnacentral:rRNA from 1 species
CCAAUAGCGUAUAUUAAAGUUGUUGCAGUUAAAAAGCUCGUAGUUGAAUUUCGGGAUUGGCGCAUCGGUCGUGCCUCACGGGGUAUGAACUGGUGCAGUCAAUUUCUCACCUUCUGGAGAACCGCGAUGUCCUUAAUUGGAUGCCGCGGGGAACCAGGACCUUUACUUUGAAAAAAUUAGAGUGUUUAAAGCAGGCAUUUUUGCUUGAAUACAUUAGCAUGGAAUAAUAAAAUAGGACGGCAUGGUUCUAUUUUGUUGGUUUCUAGGACCACCGUAAUGAUUAAUAGGGAUAGUUGGGGGCAUUAGUAUUCAAUUGUCAGAGGUGAAAUUCUUGGAUUUAUUGAAGACUAACUACUGCGAAAGCAUUUGCCAAGGAUGUUUUCAUUAAUCAAGAACGAAAGUUAGGGG